UCCUCAUUCCAGUGAAAUGUGCCCUAACACAGUAUAAAUGGAGCAGGUAUCAGGCACAAUUACUAGCCCAAAACACCAAGCUUUGCCACACCCACACGGGUCAUCAGCAGUGAUAAACAUUAAGCAAUAAGCGAACAUACCAAAUAUUCUUAAAGCUUGACUUAGUUAUGAUUAAACCUGGGCCGGUAAACCUCGUGCCAGCCACCGCGGUUAUACGAGGGGCCCAAAGCAGCAGACUCUCGGCGUAAAUAGUGGCUAGAAUUAUCACCCUCACAUUAAAAAUUAAACCAUAUCCUAACCGUAAAACACAGGAUAAAUGAAAACAAACAUUUUUAACAACUGGAGAUUUGACCCACGAAAACUAAGAAACAAACUAGGAUUAGAUACCCUACUAUGCUUAGUCGUUAAUACGAUAUUACUGUACUAGAAUAUCCGCCAGAAAACUACGAGCGAAAAGCUUAAAACUCAAAGGACUUGGCGGUGCUCCAUACCGGAUUAGAGGAGCCUGUCCUAUAAUCGAUACUCCACGCUAAACCUCACCAAUCUUUGCCAAAUCAGCCUAUAUACCGCCGUCGCCAAUCUACCUCAUGAGAGAAAAAUAGUAGAUACAACAGUUCUAUAACUAAUACGUCAGGUCAAGGUGUAGCUAAUAGAAUGGAAGAGAUGGGCUACAUUUUUUAAGAUAAAACACACGGCACGGUACUAUGAAAUUUUUACCCAAAGGAGGAUUUAAUAGUAAAACUAACAAGAAAGUUAAUUUUAAACACG
rnacentral:rRNA from 1 species